rnacentral:miRNA from 1 species
CAAUGUUUCUACACUGCAACCG